AUCCGAUCCCUAGUCGGCAUAGUUUAUGGUUAAGACUACGACGGUAUCUGAUCGUCUUCGAUCCCCUAACUUUCGUUCUUGAUUAAUGAAAACAUCCUUGGCAAAUGCUUUCGCAGUAGUUAGUCUUCAAUAAAUCCAAGAAUUUCACCUCUGACAAUUGAAUACUAAUGCCCCCAACUAUCCCUAUUAAUCAUUACGUCAAUCCUAGAAACCAACAAAAUAAGAUCGAACGUCCUAUUUCAUUAUUCCAUGCUAAUGUAUUCAAGCGUUAGCUUGCUUUAAACACUCUAAUUUUUUCAAAGUAACAGUCCAAAUUCCCCGCAACACCAAAUUAAUGGCAUUACGGUUCAUAAGGAAGGAGGAAUCAGUGAGACCAGUACAUACCAGAGGCAUGACCAACCUACUAACCCCGAAAUUCAACUACGAGCUUUUUAACUGCAACAACUUUAAUAUACGCUAUUGGAGCUGGAAUUACCGCGGCUGCUGGCACCAGACUUGCCCUCCAAUUGUUCCUCGUUAAGAGAUUUAAAUUGUACUCAUUCCAAUUACGAGAUCCUAAAGAACCCCGUAUUGUUAUUUAUUGUCACUACCUCCCCGUGUCGGGAUUGGGUAAUUUGCGCGCCUGCUGCCAUCCUUGGAUGUGGUAGCCGUUUCUCAGGCUCCCUCUCCGGUGUCGUGCCCUAACACCCCGUUACCCGUUACCACCAUGGUAGGCCUCUAUCCUACCA
rnacentral:rRNA from 1 species